CAGCAGCCGCCGCGGUAAUACGAAGGGGGCUAGCGUUGCUCGGAAUCACUGGGCGUAAAGGGUGCGUAGGCGGGUUAUUAAGUCAGAGGUGAAAUCCUGGAGCUCAACUCCAGAACUGCCUUUGAUACUGAUAGUCUUGAGUAUGGGAGAGGUGGGUGGAACUGCGAGUGUAGAGGUGAAAUUCGUAGAUAUUCGCAAGAACACCAGUGGCGAAGGCGGCUCACUGGCCCAUAACUGACGCUGAGGCACGAAAGCGUGGGGAGCAAACAGGAUUAGAUACCCGUGUAGUCCCUGUCUCUUAUAC
rnacentral:rRNA from 1 species